GAUGAACGCUGGCGGCGUGCCUAAUACAUGCAAGUCGAGCGAACAGACGAGGAGCUUGCUCCUCUGACGUUAGCGGCGGACGGGUGAGUAACACGUGGAUAACCUACCUAUAAGACUGGGAUAACUUCGGGAAACCGGAGCUAAUACCGGAUAAUAUAUUGAACCGCAUGGUUCAAUAGUGAAAGACGGUUUUGCUGUCACUUAUAGAUGGAUCCGCGCCGCAUUAGCUAGUUGGUAAGGUAACGGCUUACCAAGGCAACGAUGCGUAGCCGACCUGAGAGGGUGAUCGGCCACACUGGAACUGAGACACGGUCCAGACUCCUACGGGAGGCAGCAGUAGGGAAUCUUCCGCAAUGGGCGAAAGCUUGACGGAGCAACGCCGCGUGAGUGAUGAAGGUCUUCGGAUCGUAAAACUCUGUUAUUAGGGAAGAACAAAUGUGUAAGUAACUAUUCACGUCUUGACGGUACCUAAUCAGAAAGCCACAGCUAACUACGUG
rnacentral:rRNA from 1 species